UACAGAGGUGGCGAGCGUUAUUCGGAAUUAUUGGGCGUAAAGGGCGCGUAGGCGGCUUGACAAGUCCCGGGUGAAAUCCCUCGGCUCAACCGAGGAACUGCCUUGGAAACUGUCUGGCUUGAGGCCGGGAGAGGGUAGUGGAAUUCCCAGUGUAGCGGUGAAAUGCGUAGAUACUGGGAGGAACACCGGUGGCGAAGGCGCUCUGCUGGACCAUAACUGACACUCAGGGACGAAAGCUAGGGGAGCGAAUGGG
rnacentral:rRNA from 1 species